rnacentral:rRNA from 1 species
CACCCCCCCCCCCCUUUUUUUUUUUUUUUUUCCCCCACUCCCCCGCGGUGGGCCCUCCCCCUCUCUCCUCCCGCGUACUUUUUCCCCCCCCUCUUCUGAACUCCCCCCCUUUUCCCGCACAACCCCCACCUUCCCGGAUCCUCCCCCCCUUGCGGUUUUUUUUUCCCUUUUCGAGGAAGCCUUCCUACCACAGCGAGCCCACUCCCCUUAUUAGAAGUAAAAGUCGUAACAAGGUUUCCGUAGGUGAACCUGCGGAAGGAUCAUUAACGAAUUUGAAUUAUCAUCAUUUUCUGUGAAUUUUUUUAUGAAUUUGCUUUUGGCUGGAAUGUAUUUUCUGGCCAAAAGAUAAACUCCAAUAAACUUUUUUUCGACAAAAACCAAAAGAUUUAAAUAAAUCAAAACUUUCAACAACGGAUCUCUUAGGUUCUCGCAUCGAUGAAGAACGCAGCGAAAUGCGAUACGUAAUGUGAAUUCGCAGAAUUUUGUGAAUCAUCGAAUCUUUGAACGCACAUUGCGCCUUUUGGUAUUCCAGAAGGCAUGCCUGUUUCAGCGUCAUUUCUCUCUCACUCUUGUGGUUUUGUUGUUUAUCUCUUCUCUAAGAAGAGUACUACGAAAAGAAAUGGCAGUGCUUAGGAAGUCUUUGCUACCUAGUGUUUUAGGUUCUACCAACUACACUUUCCAGCAGCUUCCAGUAAGUCGGCUUGAAAACCCUUUUCAACGUUGACCAGAAAUCAGGUAAGAUUACCC